AUUGAACGCUGGCGGCAGGCCUAACACAUGCAAGUCGAGCGAGCGGCGGACGGGUGAGUAAUGUCUGGGAAACUGCCUGAUGGAGGGGGAUAACUACUGGAAACGGUAGCUAAUACCGCAUACCAUCAGAUGUGCCCAGAUGGGAUUAGCUAGUAGGUGGGGUAACGGCUCACCUAGGCGACGAUCCCUAGCUGGUCUGAGAGGAGGACCAGCAAAAAGGGAACUGAGACACGGGCCAGACUCCGACGGGAGGCAGCAGUGGGGAAGAUGGCACAAUGGGCGCAAGCCUGAUGCAGCCAGGCCGCGUGUGUGAAGAAGGCCUUCGGGUUGUAAAGCACUUUCAGCGGGGAGGCGUGACCCGCAGAAGAAGCACCGGCUAACUCCGUGCCAGCAGCCGCGGUAAUAC
rnacentral:rRNA from 1 species